rnacentral:rRNA from 1 species
AGACCCGAAACCCGGUGAUCUAGCCAUGGGCAGGUUGAAGGUUGGGUAACACUAACUGGAGGACCGAACCGACUAAUGUUGAAAAAUUAGCGGAUGACUUGUGGCUGGGGGUGAAAGGCCAAUCAAACCGGGAGAUAGCUGGUUCUCCCCGAAAGCUAUUUAGGUAGCGCCUCGUGAAUUCAUCUCCGGGGGUAGAGCACUGUUUCGGCAAGGGGGUCAUCCCGACUUACCAACCCGAUGCAAACUGCGAAUACCGGAGAAUGUUAUCACGGGAGACACACGGCGGGUGCUAACGUCCGUCGUGAAGAGGGAAACAACCCAGACCGCCAGCUAAGGUCCCAAAGUCAUGGUUAAGUGGGAAACGAUGUGGGAAGGCCCAGACAGCCAGGAUGUUGGCUUAGAAGCAGCCAUCAUUUAAAGAAAGCGUAAUAGCUCACUGGUCGAGUCGGCCUGCGCGGAAGAUGUAACGGGGCUAAACAAUGCACCGAAGCUGCGGCAGCGACACUGUGUGUUGUUGGGUAGGGGAGC